UGCCAGACUCCUACGGGAGGCAGCAGUGAGGAAUAUUGGUCAAUGGGCUUACGCCUGAACCAGCCAAGUCGCGUGAGGGAAGACUGCCCUAUGGGUUGUAAACCUCUUUUGUCAGGGAGCAACGCCGGCUACGUGUAGCCGGACUGAGAGUACCUGAAGAAAAAGCAUCGGCUAACUCCGUGCCAGCAGCCGCGGUAAUACGGAGGAUGCGAGCGUUAUCCGGAUUUAUUGGGUUUAAAGGGUGCGUAGGCGGGACCUUAAGUCAGCGGUAAAAUUGCGGUGCUCAACGCCGUAGAGCCGUUGAAACUGGGGUUCUUGAGUGAGCGAGAAGUAUGCGGAAUGCGUGGUGUAGCGGUGAAAUGCAUAGAUAUCACGCAGAACCCCGAUUGCGAAGGCAGCAUACCGGCGCUCAACUGACGCUGAGGCACGAAAGUGCGGGUAUCGAACAGGAUUAGAUACCCGGGUAA
rnacentral:rRNA from 1 species